CAUCUCAAAAAUAAUCGUAACUCAUGAGUAAAAAACCUUUCUGUUCCCCAGCAUGGAACCAUUUACGCGAUGCUUCGCAGGGUCUCGCUUCUUUUCCAUUGCCUUAUCUACCUUGCUUAAGUGCACUUAAUAGCUGAGCAGUACGAUCUGUGGACUUUGCUUUGGCUGUCAAUUGCUAGGUUUUAUUCUUAAAAUGUUUGAUUUUGAUUUCCUUCAUCUCUGUUUGAUUUGAUUCUUCUUUGCACAACCAAGUUCCACAGCGAAUGGAAGUUAUCGGCUUUCUUCCGGUUGACCGGACCCAAAGUCGAAACGAAAUAAAUUGAAUACAGACAUCGGCUCUUCAGACUAUAUCUUUUUGCGACGGCAUGGGAUAGUUUUUUGGUAUAUCGAUUUUGCUUACAGGUUUCAUCGGAGGUAGGAGGUCAGAUAUAUACACAUUCAUUCAAGUUAAAGAGUAUAAGUGCUUAAAACAAAAACCUUUCUUCAGUUGGUUCGUAUUUUUUUACUUAUAUUUCAGACAAUUCUAUGAAGAUGCUUAUUUUUGUAUCAUUUAUCAGUUCCCUACAUCUUAUAUAUGUUUUCCACCAUCUGGAGCUAGAAUUUUUAUUCUAUUGGUUUUAGCAUGCAAGGUGUUUGUUGAUAUGCCUCAAAGGGAUGAUAAUCGUACUUCAAAUCUUUUUAUUUUAUCGUUUACCCUUUUCAACGAUCUUUUGGUAGGCUGUUGCAGAUAUUGGCUUACAUCAACUUCUAGCUUUUGGUAUUGGAGAAAUUUCCUUAAACUUUGUUGUGAAACAAGUAUCCCUGCUACACUUAUUAUCCUUUUCUAUUGUAAUAAGUUCUUUUUGUUUGUUAGUAUGUGGAUAUCUGCUCCAUUAAUGCACCUAAUGUGUGAUUAACUUUAAUAAGAUCUCAAAAUUGAGAAACAAA